GACGUAGGGCGCGAGCGUUGUCCGGAUUUAUUGGGCGUAAAGAGCGUGUAGGCGGCCAUACAGGUCCGUUGUGAAAACUGGAGGCUUAACCUCCAGACGUCGAUGGAAACCGUAUGGCUAGAGUCCGGAAGAGGAGAGUGGAAUUCCUGGUGUAGCGGUGAAAUGCGCAGAUAUCAGGAAGAACACCCGUGGCGAAGGCGGCUCUCUGGGACGGUACUGACGCUGAGCCGCGAAAGCGUGGGGAGCAAACAGG
rnacentral:rRNA from 1 species